rnacentral:rRNA from 1 species
AACGAACGCUGGCGGCAGGCCUAACACAUGCAAGUCGAGCGAGGACUUCGGUUCUAGCGGCGGACGGGUGAGUAACGCGUGGGAAUGUGCCCUUCUCUACGGAAUAGCCCUGGGAAACUGGGAGUAAUACCGUAUACGCCCUAUUGGGGAAAGAUUUAUCGGAGAAGGAUCAGCCCGCGUUGGAUUAGGUAGUUGGUGGGGUAAUGGCCUACCAAGCCGACGAUCCGUAGCUGGUUUGAGAGGAUGAUCAGCCACACUGGGACUGAGACACGGCCCAGACUCCUACGGGAGGCAGCAGUGGGGAAUCUUAGACAAUGGGGGCAACCCUGAUCUAGCCAUGCCGCGUGAGUGAUGAAGGCCUUAGGGUUGUAAAGCUCUUUCAGCUGGGAAGAUAAUGACGGUACCAGCAGAAGAAGCCCCGGCUAACUCCGUG